CGAUAUACCGACAAUAUUCUCCAACCUGAAAGUUCACCGCAAAACUAGCGACUCUGACUGAAGUACCAGAUAUUCAUCUUUGCCGGGUCCAUAUUCAACCUAAAUUCGCGAUUACAGCUGAACUCGGCGUCUUCCGUCCACAUCCAGUAUGGCCACCGCCACUGUACUCUUGCCUUCUGCUUUCGCUACAGCUCCUCCGAUUCCAACAACCAAAACCCUCCCGAUACGAAACGCUUCUUCUUCUAAGGUUUAUCUUCUUCGAUUUCCUUCAUCAUCAUCUUCUUCUUAUUCUUUUUCUUCUAAGCUUACGUUCCGAAAGGGAUUGAUAAAGUGUAAAGCUUUAAGAGAAACCUCUCGGGACUCAUUCAAUGGUCGAACUGUUUAUCAAGGAGUUUACGGUCCUUGGGCCGUCGAUCCCUCGGACGUUCGUGAGGUGAUCUUAUAUAGAAUAGGUUUAGUAACAGCUGCUGUGUCAUUCAUCAUCGCGGCUUCUACUGCUUUUUUACCAGAUGGGAACAUCUUGGCAGAUAUUGUAAAACAAGAUCUCGAUUUGUUUUAUGCACUAGGAACCGGGGGACUAGGCCUAUCACUUUACCUAAUUCACAUUUAUGUAACCGAGAUUAAACAGACACUUCAAGCAUUAUGGGCGUUUGGUGUCAUUGGAUCAUUAGCAACCUAUUUCAGCCUCGCUCAACCUGUUGGUAUAAGCUUGGCAGAAUACGUUGUUGAAAACCCAACGGCUGUGUGGUUUGUUGGGCCUCUCUUUGCUGCACUCACGGGGCUUGUAUUCAAGGAAGGUCUCUGCUAUGGCAAGCUGGAAGCUGGCUUAUUGACAUUCAAUAUACCUACAGUGCUUCUUGGUCACCUGACGGGUUUAAUGGAUGAUGGAGUAAAACUUGGAUUAUUGGGUUCAUGGAUGGCUCUCUUUCUAGUAUUUGCAGCAAGGAAAUUCACUCAACCCAUUAAGGAUGACAUUGGUGACAAGUCCAUCUUUAUGUUCAAUGCACUUCCAGAAAGAGAAAAAAAGGCAUUGCUCGAGAAACUAGAACAACAGAAGUUAAUAUCUGAACGUUAAUUCAUGAAGGACCAAUUUAUUCCAGGUAGCUGUAAGAAGAAACCAUGAUGCCAGAUUUUCUAGGUACAGGAAUUGUAUAAGGGUAUGUAUACCCCAUUCGUGGGAUUGAAGAUGUGGCAAGUUAUGCUGUGACUGCCGAAGCUGAGCCAAUUGGGUAACAGACCACUGUUUACCAUCUACAACAUCUAGUAAAUCGCAAUUUAUAAUUUAUUUUCAUAUUACAAUGCAGCUUAAUUUCUUUUUCCUCCUCUAUACCUUCUAAUGAAGCUUACGAUCUCCAAGAUGGGCUUUGUAGAUUACCACCUGGUAUAGACUAUAGAGUUGCAUGUAUGAUUAUUUCUCA